rnacentral:rRNA from 1 species
ACACUGAGCUAAAAGCUCGUAGUUGGAUUUCGGGGGAGUGCGGCGCGUCCUGUGCCCUGAUGGGUGCAGCGCAUGUGCCGGUUAUGCUCUGCCCUGCCGGCCGGAGUCCUUGGCUCGCUCGGCUGCGUGCGCUCGCAUUCAGUUGCGGGCGUGCGUGCCACGGCGGGUCAGCAAAGGGGUUUCGGCCAUGUUCCUGUGAAGAAAUCAGAGUGUUCCAAGCAGGCGUUCGCCUUGAAUGGAUUAGCAUGGAAUAACACAACAGACCUCGGUCUUGUUUGGUUGGCUGCCAAGAUCGACGGCGCUUGAUUAAUAGGGACAGUUGGGGGCAUUCGUAUUCCGAUGUCAGAGGUGAAAUUCUUGGAUUUUCGGAAGACGAACCUCUGCGAAAGCAUUU